rnacentral:rRNA from 1 species
ACGAACGCUGGCGGCGUGCUUAACCCAUGCCAGUCGAACGGAAAGGCCCAGCUUGCUGGGUGCUCGAGUGGCGAACGGGUGAGUAACACGUGGGUGAUCUGCCCCUAACUUCGGGAUAAGCUUGGGAAACUGGGUCUAAUACCGGAUAGGACAAUCGUUUAGUGUCGGUUGUGGAAAGUUUUUUCGGUUAGGGAUGAGCCCGCGGCCUAUCAGCUUGUUGGUGGGGUAAUGGCCUACCAAGGCGUCGACGGGUAGCCGGCCUGAGAGGGUGGACGGCCACAUUGGGACUGAGAUACGGCCCAGACUCCUACGGGAGGCAGCAGUGGGGAAUAUUGCACAAUGGGCGCAAGCCUGAUGCAGCGACGCCGCGUGGGGGAUGACGGCCUUCGGGUUGUAAACCUCUUUCGACAGGGACGAAGCUUUGGUGACGGUACCUGUAUAAGAAGCACCGGCUAACUACGUG